UCCUGACUAUGCUUAACAGCAGAGUUGGACUACACGUCAAUUCACUAGUACAUUAAUAAUAUAAUUAAUGUCAUAAAAUACAGAAGUUUCUUGCGAGAAACUUCAGUGAAGAUAAGGUAAAUUGGCUAUAGUUU
rnacentral:ncRNA from 1 species